AGAGUGAACGCUGGCGGCAGGCCUAAUACAUGCAAGUCGAACGGCAGCACAGCAGAGCUUGCUCUGUGGGUGGCGAGUGGCGGACGGGUGAGGAAUACAUGGGAAUCUGCCCAGUCGUGGGGGAUAACGUAGGGAAACUUACGCUAAUACCGCAUGCGCCCUUCGGGGGAAAGCCGGGGACCUUCGGGCCUGGCGCGAUUGGAUGAGCCCAUGUCGGAUUAGCUAGUUGGCGGGGUAAAAGCCCACUAAGGCGACGAUCCGUAGCUGGUCUGAGAGGAUGAUCAGCCACACUGGAACUGAGACACGGUCCAGACUCCUACGGGAGCAGCAGUAGGGAAUAUUGGACAA
rnacentral:rRNA from 1 species